UAUGCUGAUCUACUAACACGGGAUCUCUAGACAACUGACCUCAGGCCAGAAAAGGUUGUAGGAGGAAUAAGGUCAGCCAUUCACCCAGGGCCAUGGAUGGACAGCUUGGUCAUUGAGCAGCAAACUGAGCAGACCACAAUGCUUGAGUGAGCAGAGUAAAAGAAAUACCCAACUGGGUGCAAAGCCAGAGAAAGGGAAAAAAAUCGGAGACUUCCAAAAAUCCUAAAUGUUGGCAGCAGGGACAGCCAACACUCAGGUAGAUGAGUUCCCCCGCCCACCCUUUCCAUCUGGAGGCACUGAAGCUCUCCUGAGACCCCGACCCAGACACUGUGACCUCUGGUGUCAGGCACCGGCGCCACCAGAGUCCUUGUUGAGACCCAGCCCCGGUAAUGUCCCUACUCAUCUGUCAUACUGCACACAACAGUACCAAGAGAGAUGGAGCAGGUAGAAGACUGACAGGGGAAAAAAGGUAGGUGCUGGGUUAUAUUGAUAUAUGGGGCACUUGUUAGUCUUUCAUAACAAUUCUGAUACUGAAUCCAGUUAAGGCAUAAACAUAAGUCACAUUGUCAGUAAGAAAAAUAGAAAAAUUAUAUAACACAAAUCACAGUAAUGCACAAUUGCAGGGCUGUUUCGUAAGGUGGCCCUGAAGGUCAAAACCCAACAACUGUAGAAAGCAAAACUACAAGUCAAAUGAUGCAACAUUUCAAAAAACAUGACAUUUCAAAAAACAUU
rnacentral:lncRNA from 1 species